rnacentral:rRNA from 1 species
AUUGAACGCUGGCGGCAGGCCUAACACAUGCAAGUCGAGCGAGCGGCGGACGGGUGAGUAAUGUAUGGGGACUGCCCGAUAGAGGGGGAUAACUACUGGAAACGGUGGCUAUUACCGCAUCCUAUCGGAUAACCCAUAGGGGAUUAGCUAGGAGGUGGGGUAAAGGCUCACGUAGGCGACGAUCUCGAGCUGGUCUGAGAGGAUGAUCAGCCACACUGGGACUGUGACACGGCCCAGACGCCUACGGAGUCAGCAGUGGGGAAUAUGGAACAAGGGGCGCAAGCCUGAUGCAGCCAUGCCGCGUGUAUGAACAAGGCCUUAUGGUUGUAAAGUAAUUUCAGCGGGGAGGCGUUACCCGCAGAAGAAGCACCGGCUAACUCCGUGCCAGCAGCCGCGGUAAUAC